UACGAAGGGGGCUAGCGUUGCUCGGAAUCACUGGGCGUAAAGCGCACGUAGGCGGCUCUUUAAGUCAGGGGUGAAAUCCUGGAGCUCAACUCCAGAACUGCCUUUGAUACUGAGGAGCUCGAGUCCGGGAGAGGUGAGUGGAACUGCGAGUGUAGAGGUGAAAUUCGUAGAUAUUCGCAAGAACACCAGUGGCGAAGGCGGCUCACUGGCCCGGUACUGACGCUGAGGUGCGAAAGCGUGGGGAGCAAACAGG
rnacentral:rRNA from 1 species